rnacentral:rRNA from 1 species
ACGGAAGUCGUUAUGAUGAUUUCAACACUGACAGAGAACUUGUUCAAAGAAAGUAGAGAUUGACUUAUAACAAUGGCUUUAGUGGCGGACUGGUGAGUAACACGUGAGCAACCUGCCUAUCAGAGGGGAAUAACAGUGAGAAAUCAUUGCUAAUACCGCAUAUGCCAUAAAUAUCACAUGAUGAAAGUGGGAAAGGAGUAAUCCGCUGAUAGAUGGGCUCGCGUCUGAUUAGAUAGUUGGUGGGGUAACGGCCUACCAAGUCGAUGAUCAGUAGCCGGACUGAGAGGUUGAACGGCCACAUUGGGACUGAGAUACGGCCCAGACUCCUACGGGAGGCAGCAGUCGGGAAUAUUGCGCAAUGGAGGAAACUCUGACGCAGUGACGCCGCGUAUAGGAAGAAGGUUUUCGGAUUGUAAACUAUUGUCGUUAGGGAAGAUACAAGACAGUACCUAAGGAGGAAGCUCCGGCUAACUACGUGCCAGCAGCCGCGGUAAUACGUAGGGAGCAAGCGUUAUCCGGAUUUAUUGGGUGUAAAGGGUGCGUAGACGGGAAAGCAAGUUAGUUGUGAAAUCCCUCGGCUUAACUGAGGAACUGCAACUAAAACUACUUUUCUUGAGUGUUGGAGAGGAAAGUGGAAUUCCUAGUGUAGCGGUGAAAUGCGUAGAUAUUAGGAGGAACACCGGUGGCG